AUUGAACGCUAGCGGGAUGCCUUACACAUGCAAGUCGAACGGCAGCACGGACUUCGGUCUGGUGGCGAGUGGCGAACGGGUGAGUAAUGUAUCGGAACGUGCCCAGUAGCGGGGGAUAACUACGCGAAAGCGUAGCUAAUACCGCAUACGCCCUACGGGGGAAAGCAGGGGAUCGCAAGACCUUGCACUAUUGGAGCGGCCGAUAUCGGAUUAGCUAGUUGGUGGGGUAACGGCUCACCAAGGCGACGAUCCGUAGCUGGUUUGAGAGGACGACCAGCCACACUGGGACUGAGACACGGCCCAGACUCCUACGGGAGGCAGCAGUGGGGAAUUUUGGACAAUGGGGGAAACCCUGAUCCAGCCAUCCCGCGUGUGCGAUGAAGGCCUUCGGGUUGUAAAGCACUUUUGGCAGGAAAGAAACGUCAUGGGUUAAUACCCCGUGAAACUGACGGUACCUGCAGAAUAAGCACCG
rnacentral:rRNA from 1 species